AAGACACAGAAGAAAGUUCAAGAUCAGGAAGAGAAUCUGUUUCAACAGCAAGUGACCAGCCAUCCCACUCUCUGGAGAGACAAAUGAAUGGAAACCAAGAGAAAGGAGAUAAGACUGAUAGGAAAAAAGAAAAAACUGGAAAAGAGAAAAAGAAAGACAGGGAUAAAGAAAAGGACAAAAUGAAGGUCAAGAAAGGGAUGCUGAAGGGUUUAGGAGACAUGUUCAGCAUUGCCAAAGUGACGCCUGAGAAGAGAUGAACAACAAACGAGAUUCCAAAAUGUCUUGAACAGCACAUAUUGCACAGACUUUUUUUUUUUUCAAAAAAGAGAAACAACAAUAAAUCUACUUUUAAUGAA